rnacentral:lncRNA from 1 species
UUCAACAAAAAACUAGGGGGCAAUGUUGGGUCAUGAUAUUUCCCCUCUUUGGGCCGAGUAAGUUGGGCUCACUUAUUUAAUUAAUCUAUUGGGCCAUCAUUAUUGAACCUUGAAAGUCACUGGGCCUAGUCACCAUAUUACUUUUACUUAACCCUACAAGACCGGGUCGGUUCAUUGGACUAACCCAUUGGAUCAUUUAAUAUCUAUUCCUUUGACUUGUAAU